rnacentral:rRNA from 1 species
AUACGUAGGGGGCGAGCGUUGUCCGGAAUGAUUGGGCGUAAAGGGCGCGUAGGCGGCCCGGUAAGUCUGGAGUGAAAGUCCUGUUUUUAAGAUGGGAAUUGCUUUGGAUACUGUCGGGCUUGAGUGCAGGAGAGGUAAGUGGAAUUCCCAGUGUGGCGGUGAAAUGCGUAGAGAUUGGGAGGAACACCAGUGGCGAAGGCGACUUACUGGACUGUAACUGACGCUGAGGCGCGAAAGUGUGGGGAGCAAACAGGAUUAGAUACCCUGGUAGUCCACACUGUAAACGAUGAAUGCUAGGUGUAGGGGGUAUCGACCCCUUCUGUGCCGCAGUCAACACAAUAAGCAUUCCGCCUGGGGAGUACGGCCGCAAGGUUGAAACUCAA